rnacentral:lncRNA from 1 species
GAAAGCUCACAGCAGGUGAGCAGAAGGCAGGAGAUACGAAAGGAAGCCAGGCGGUGGGGUAAUCAGGAGGUCAUGUUGUGGAGCCAGAGGUCAGAGCACUUUGAGGCCUGCUCUAACAAUGUGACGUGAUGUGUCCUUCUAGACAAGGCCAAUAUUAAUGAUGACAUAUCUGCACAGGAAGCACAAAGCUCUGGUUACCACUGGAAGCCGUCUUGCCCCCAUAAACCAGCCUUAGGAUGCCACUGAUGCUGUAUGGCAGAAUGGAGUAACAGAGAGAAUUUGCAGAAUAAAGAAGGGACAAUGCAGUCACCAGGUCAGCAUUAAGGGAAGGCUUGGCUGCAUCAUCUGCCACUCUGCUGCUGCUGACUCUGCCAGUGGGGACAGCACAUGCUUCCUUCUACGCUUGCCUGAGGUUCGUAACUUCAGAGCCCCACAGCAUUUCUGGAAGGAGUAAAAUGAGCUACAUGGUCCGGGAAGCUACUCCUAAGUAGAGUUCACAAUCAAAGGAAUAGAAGCUGGGGAAAACAAUAAAGCAGUCUUCUUCUUCUCAA